AGGGGUGGUGUUCGGACAGCUGCGU
rnacentral:miRNA from 1 species